rnacentral:tRNA from 1 species
GGUAAAUAUAGUUCAAUCGGUAGAACGACUACUUGUGGCGUAGGCGGCUCUUGGUUCAAGUCCAAGUUUUUACC